rnacentral:rRNA from 1 species
UGCAGUCGAGGGGUAUAGUUCUUCGGAACUAGAGACCGGCGCACGGGUGCGUAACGCGUAUGCAAUCUACCUUUUGCAGAGGGAUAGCCCAGAGAAAUUUGGAUUAAUACCUCAUAGUAUGUGAGAAUGGCAUCAUUUUCACAUUAAAGUCACAACGGCAAAAGAUGAGCAUGCGUCCCAUUAGCUAGUUGGUAAGGUAACGGCUUACCAAGGCAACGAUGGGUAGGGGUCCUGAGAGGGAGAUCCCCCACACUGGUACUGAGACACGGACCAGACUCCUACGGGAGGCAGCAGUGAGGAAUAUUGGACAAUGGGCGCAAGCCUGAUCCAGCCAUGCCGCGUGCAGGAUGACGGUCCUAUGGAUUGUAAACUGCUUUUGUACAGGAAGAAACACUGGUUCGUGAACCAGCUUGACGGUACUGUAAGAAUAAGGAUCGGCUAACUCCGUGCC